UCUAGACGGUAGCACUAUCUUGCCGCUGUAGAAGUCCUCAGGAUUGGGGAUAAAAUCCUUAUUUUAAAGCAUAUCAAAUGCAGAUCAAGGCAGACCAGAUGAGUUCUGGGCUGGGCAGGAAGAGGGUUAGGAGGCUUUGGGCUCAUUUGAAUUCCUAGCCCAGUCUCUUUUCCAUUUCCCAUUCUCCUGGAGAGAGAUGUUUCCAAACCACUAUCUGAACUGCCCCUGUGCUUGUGUUUUCUUGUCAUUAUAAUUAUCCUGGUUUGCUCUGCAACUCCAUUAUGCUGGACUCUCCAGAAGGCUGCUUAGUGCUGUGUGCAGAUGAAAUAAACAAGGCCCCGCUGUCUCAGGGCAGCAGGAAAGGGAGAGAAAGUUGAAGUUUACAUAUGAAAAUUGAAGUGGAAGAGUUGAAGCUACCAUUUGCCCAAUUCAGGCUGAAACCUUUGGCCACAACUAUUUCGCUGCGGGUUUGGAGGAGGCAAACUCCGAAACAGAAAGUUGGAACCCUUGGCUCCCAAGCAGGGAUGCAGGAGAGAAGGACCUGGCGCAGGACGAGAGGCUUCACUGGGUCACCCUGUCUCGGAAGCUGGCUUUCCCCACCCUCUAUGGACAGACUAGAGUCUUAGACUGUCAACUCCUAGAGUGCCAGAAGCCUGUCACAGUCCUUUUGCACCUCACACAGGAGUGGAACUGAACAAGAAUGCUUUGAUGGCUGAAGCCAUCCAUCCCUUGGGUUUAAGGACAACCCAGGAACCGCCUGUGACCAGGUGUACUGUUUGAGCAACGUGAGUUGGACAGAGCAAAAAGAAAUGUCAAUGAGGGCUGGGGAUUUAGCUCAGUGGUUCUGGCACCUGCCUCACAAGUGCAAGGACCUGAGUUCAAUCCCUGGUACCAAAAGAAAAGAAAAGAAAUGUCAGUGAAAUCAUAAGGAGCCUACUCUGGGCAGAAGCUUGGCAUUCCCUGCAUUACUGGCACUCACCACCGCACUUCUUGUCAGCCAUUAUUCUACAAAUGCUUGCUGCUGGAGAAGGACGGAUAAAAUGUAUUGAGGUUUACAGGCCAUGGGUCUUCUUUUUUUUUCAAAUUUUUUUUUCAGUUUUAAGGGUCUUCUUUUUUGUGGGGGAGC